rnacentral:tmRNA from 1 species
GGGGGCGAACUGGAUUCGACGGGGGUAUGGAAGCUUAAGUUGCGUGUCGGGGACCCUGCAACCUCGCAAAAAAGCAGGAAAAACACAAAAGCCGACUCUAAUUACGAGUACGCACUGGCCGCUUAAGGCGGUCACAUCUGACCUGGUAGGUCUGUGGACCGGGAUUAGGUGAAAAUUUAGCAGGCUAGCUUUCUUUGGGUGCUUGUACCUUUGGGAGCAAAAAUUCUACAAACUAGCCUGAUCUGACCCUGCCUGGGUGAGACAGAUCAGGCGAAAAAUAAAAACUCAGGCUACGCACGUAGAUGCUUGAGUGGAAUGCUUUCGGACGCGGGUUCGAUUCCCGCCGCCUCCACCA